rnacentral:misc_RNA from 1 species
CAGACCACUCACUGCCAGC